UUGGGAGCUCACUAGCUUCGGAUUCCAUGGGAACUCCGAAGUUAAGCGAGUUGGGGGCUAGAGCAAUCCUAGGAUAGGUGACCCACUGGGAAGUUGCUCGUGAGCUCCUAGA
rnacentral:rRNA from 1 species